GGCUCAGGAUGAACGCUAGCGGCAGGCCUAAUACAUGCAAGUCGAACGAUAAAGGGGAGCUUGCUCUCCUUGAAAGUGGCGCACGGGUGCGUAACGCGUAUGCAACCUACCUUGAUCAGGGGGAUAGCCUCUCGAAAGAGAGAUUAACACCGCAUAAUAUAACCGGAUGGCAUCAUUUGGUUAUCAAAUAUUUAUAGGAUCGAGAUGGGCAUGCGUGACAUUAGMUAGUUGGCGGGGUAAGGGCCCACCAAGGCCACGAUGUSUAGGGGAUCUGAGAGGAUGGCCCCCCACACUGGUASUGAGACACGGACCAGACUCCUACGGGAGGCAGCAGUAAGGAAUAUUGGUCAAUGGGGGCAACCCUGAACCAGCCAUGCCGCGUGCAGGAAGACGGCCCUACGGGUUGUAAACUGCUUUUAUACAGGAAUAAACCUUUUUACGUGUAAAGAGC
rnacentral:rRNA from 1 species